GGAAAGGUCAUAGCUUAGUGGUACAGUGCAUGCUUUGCAUACAAAAGGUCCCAGGUUCAAUCCCUAGUGUCUCUA